UUACUCUCUAAUCUAUCUUUAUAGACGCAGACAGAUUGUUGCAUUUUAUGAAAGAGGAGGUCCCAAUAAGUGUUCUCCUGUUCAGUCUAACUGAAAAGUGCGGCCUGUGGCUUCUGCAGUUUGGCGCCCUGCAGAAUCUGCACCACUGUAUCUAUGAGGUUCUGCUCUGUUACUGGCUCUGCCAUCUGGUGUUGGUGCCCAUGAGAUGGACUCGGCUCUGGUUUGCAACCAGGGGAGCUUAGAGUGGGAGCCUGGCACGGCUGCUGCUGAUUCCAGAAUAAUCUAUGCUGCGCUGCUGUGACUCAUUUUGCCUCUGAUGGGCACCGUGACCACUCGAGCAUGUGCCUGCAAUUAAGCGUUCUGUUAAGUAAAAACUGCAAUUUGCAAAGGCAAGCAUGAAGGUGCACUUCACUAGAACAAAGUAAAUUGAAGGAGUGGCGGAGGGAUAGUGGGGGCUCAUACGGAUAAACCGAUCUCUCCACCGCGAGGUUUUGAUUUUGGCUUUUGCUGUGGUUUUGUGGACCAAGGUGCACACUGAAAAUACUCUGAUGACAGUAGAGAUGUAGACUUUUGUAACACCAAUAUGGGGAACUCAUAAAAAUAACGUAAUUUCUGGGAAUACAGAACAGAAGACGAGCUGCAUUUGAAUUUGAAAAACAACCAUAGGAAAUUUGCAGUUUUGGUAAAUUCAUUCAAAAACAAAGCGCCGAUCUGAAGCCGUCUUUGCAGCAGUGGUUUGUCCAUUGUUUGCUGCUGCUGCUCAAAAUGUUUUAAUUUCUUUCACCACACAAAAGCUCUUCACGAGCAAUGACAAGGGCUGCUGUCACGAGCUGAUGUGACACAUUACUGUAUUUAGCACAUAUUUCGACGUCCGCUUGGAGUUUUAACGACGGGCUGUUAUGAUUUCACUUGGAAGUCUUCUCUUAUUUUUAUUUUUUUAAUCCUGUCAACAGCGUCCACUUAAUGUCACGUCCAGCUGGGUGGAGGACGAGCAGACGAUUUCUGCAUUUGUGCAGCGUGUCCUCACUCAGAGUGGGAGGAACUGUUUUUGUGGACGUGCUGGAAGAAAACGUCUUUUUUCUAUGAUUUCGAUGAGAUGACUGAUACUGUCACCUUUUUAAAAAUACAGCUGUAGGUCAGGAGACUUUAAAGUUCACAAACUGUAGCUCAAAGGCUGAAAUCAAUGUUGCUUUUUUCUGCUGGGGGAGGAGCUGAGCUGAGCAAAACUUUUAAAGGUCACAAAUUCACUUGUUUGUAGUUGAUUUUGUCAUUACUAGAAGCCACAAAGUGACAGAAGAAACCAAGUGGCCCCUCAUGUAAAAGAGUCAGUGGUAAAAUCCACUGGAUACAGCAGAGGCACAUUCAUUAACAUGAUAAAUGAGUAGAAACAACCUCAGUAAAAGUACAUCAGAGACAACAAAGAAGAAGUAGAAAAGCCAGG
ensembl:lncRNA